ACCGGGGAGGAGGAGGCGGCCACACGCUCCCAAGUCCCUCCCUCCCCAUUGGCCAAACUGUGGGCCGCGCGCCCCCCUCCAUUGGCUACGGCCGGGGACCCCUUCCCGCAGCUGACUCCCCAUUGGCUGAAGCCGGGGACCGCGAGACCCUCCUUGAAAGGACCCAGGGCUCCUUGAAGAAAUGGCUGACUCCAGCCUGGGCAGGAGCAAGGAAGGCACCAGAUGAGCUUGGAACAUUUUGUCAAGCCAGAAAAUACGACGGGCCAUCCUGAUUUGUUCCAGUAAGGAUACUGCUUCUGAGACAGCAGCUACCAUUGGAGUGGCCAACUGAUUAAGUUUACAACUGUCCACAGUCCAACAGCCAUCUGAUGUCUGCAUAGGCCAGAUUCCUGUCUUUGAGGGCGGCAUUCGUCUCUACAGUUCCCCCAGGGAUGUGAUAUUUCUCCUAGGUAACUCUCUUGAAAGAAAGUGGAAGUUCCAGGGCUUUCACAGAGCACUUCCUGCCAUCAUGUUCUCACUCCACAAUGUGGGGAUUCUGCCACUUGCCAUGGAUGUCUAUUUCAAUUAUACUCUCAGGAACUUGGAAAUAACCAUAGGGUGGGACCAAAGAUCAGCUGAGCCCUCUGAGUUGGGCCUGAGCUAAGACUCCAUCUACUAAUAUUACCUGACCACCGUAAGCCCCCACUUUGAUUGGCGGCCCACCGGGGCAUUUGGAACCUCAGGAAUUAGUGUUAAUACAGAGCCAGUCUCUAGUGGUCCUCAGAAGGCCUGGGUAUUUUCUUCUCCCUGAUGCACAGUCACUCUAGUAAACAGGUCACAGUUCCUGUCUCAAGGAGACCCAACCGCCCUUCAAUCAAGGGGCUCUGGAUCUGUGCUGACUUUGGUUUAGAGACUGGAAGAGACCAUGGAUCUCCACGGUGGAGACUCAAGUCAGGUUUUGGCUACCAGAGCAAGAUUCCCCCCACCCCGUGAUAUCGAUUAAGCAGUUCUUUAGUAGGCUGUCCAUCUAUGUGUUCUUAGGAACAUGCUGACCCAUUAGCUACUGCCCAAGACUGCUGGGGGCCAAGGCAUUCUGGUGACUGGUUAGCCCCUGUUGCCCUGUAGAGCAGAUACAGCCAUCCUGUCUUUGGUGGCAAUCUGCUGUCACUUGGCCUCUGGUACCACAGGGUCCCUUUACCCCCAGUGAAAUCAGGGAGCGCAUUUCAGUGGUGGCAUCCCUCAUAGUAAUACCUGGAGCACACAAACAGCAACAAUGGAGCUUUUCAAUCAUGCAGGUGCUUUCCUCACUAAUGUAUUUCUCAAUGCCUUACUGACGGAGGUGUCGUAUAGGCCUCCUCGUGGAAUGUGGUUCGGGGGUGAGUAUGUUGAUUUCACAUGAUAAAUAUACUCUGAUAUUCCUAUCUCCCUAAGCCUUCAGGUUUUCUACUCUACACCAUGGCAGGGAAGGUCUGGCGUCUCAACUUCAUUAAAGGUCGGCCGCUGUCAAGUUCAAGUUUUAGUCAACUUACCGAGUAAACUGUUAGAGCCACGUCCAGCUGUAUGAGCCAACACAUUAAAUCCAGCCUCUCUAGAAAGUGCACCCGUAUCAAUGAAUUCGACCCAGCCUGGUCCCACGUGUUGCUCUACUUGGUCUAACACCCUCGGGAUCCCCUUCCACAGAUAUUCCCAGGUUUCUGCUGAUCUAUAUACGCUUUGGUACGGGUCUCAGCAACAGGAGUCGUCGUGGGGAUCUUACGGAGGACGAUCAUUCCCUGCCAAGAAAUCGGUCUAAGAUGAGGUCAUCACAGAUUUUCGGGGAAAGACACUCACUGCUCAGACAUUAGAAGGCAAGAUACUUCUACGGGCAGGAGAGGUUCAGAAAACAGGUAUUUAAGAUUUUUUCAGUUUCAUCAUGGCUCAAUUAGACAUCCCUUUUCCAAGUUUCAGAAUCCCAUUCUUUCCCAAUCAGUGCCCAGAAUUUACAUAAAAGAAAGCUGUGAAACUGAAUUCAACAGUCCUUAUAAUUUAUCAACUCACAAAAUUAUUUUUGAAAAACAGCUUGAGGUAUAAUUAAAAUACGAUAAAUUGUACAUAUUUAAAGUGCAAAACUGUAUGUUUUGACAUACGUAUACAUUCAUAAAACCAUCACUACAAUACAACAGUGAACAUAUCCAUCCCCCCAAAAGGUUCCUGGGGACCCUUUGUAAUCUCGCCCACUCACCCCUCUGCAAGCCGGCCAUCCACAAGCAAUCACUGACCUGCUUUCUGUCACUACAUAUUGUUGCAUCUAGAGCAGGAGUUGGCAAACAUUUUCUGUGAAGGGCCAAAUACUAAAUAAUUUUAGGUGUUGUGGGACAAGCAAAAAUGAAAAUAUUAUGUGGGUAUUUGUAUAACGAGAGAAAAUAAAAAUUUGCAUUGGUAAUACAAAAUAUAAUCAAAUUUGUAUUGGGAAUACAAAAUAUAAUCAUGAUUGAGUACAAUUUUUGUAAUACAAAUCUCCUAAUGAAAAGCAUGAACUUUUUUUUCUUUGCUUGGUAUAACAUUUUGCUUAAUUGGGGUUCAAAGUUAGUGUCCCCACAGGGAGGCUGGUUAGCUCAGUUGGUUAGAGAGCGGUGCUCUUAACAACAAGGGUGCUGGUUCGAUCCCCACAUGGGCCACUGUCAUGCGGGGUCUCAGCUCCCCGCACAAGAAUGCAGGACA